rnacentral:rRNA from 1 species
ACCCUUUAAUGUUUGAUGUUCUAACGUGGACCCGUGAUCCGGGUUGCGGACAGUGUCUGGUGGGUAGUUUGACUGGGGCGGUCUCCUCCUAAAGAGUAACGGAGGAGCACGAAGGUUGGCUAAUCCUGGUCGGACAUCAGGAGGUUAGUGCAAUGGCAUAAGCCAGCUUGACUGCGAGCGUGACGGCGCGAGCAGGUGCGAAAGCAGGUCAUAGUGAUCCGGUGGUUCUGAAUGGAAGGGCCAUCGCUCAACGGAUAAAAGGUACUCCGGGGAUAACAGGCUGAUACCGCCCAAGAGUUCAUAUCGACGGCGGUGUUUGGCACCUCGAUGUCGGCUCAUCACAUCCUGGGGCUGAAGUAGGUCCCAAGGGUAUGGCUGUUCGCCAUUUAAAGUGGUACGCGAGCUGGGUUUAGAACGUCGUGAGACAGUUCGGUCCCUAUCUGCCGUGGGCGCUGGAGAACUGAGGGGGGCUGCUCCUAGUACGAGAGGACCGGAGUGGACGCAUCACUGGUGUUCGGGUUGUCAUGCCAAUGGCACUGCCCGGUAGCUAAAUGCGGAAGAGAUAAGUGCUGAAAGCAUCUAAGCACGAAACUUGCCCCGAGAUGAGUUCUCCCUGAGACUUAAAGUCUCCUGAAGGAACGUUGAAGACGACGACGUUGAUAGGCCGGGUGUGUAAGCGCAGCGAUGCGUUGAGCUAACCGGUACUAAUGAACCGUGAGGCUUAACCUUACAACG